rnacentral:rRNA from 1 species
UACAGAGGGUGCAAGCGUUGUUCGGAAUUAUUGGGCGUAAAGGGCGCGUAGGGGUGGCUUAAGCGUGCGGUGAAAGCUCGGAGCUCAACUCCGAGUCGGCCGUGCGAACUGGGCUCACUGGAGCAUAGUAGAGGCAGGUGGAAUUCCGGGUGUAGCGGUGAAAUGCGCAGAUAUCAGGAGGAACACCGGUGGCGAAGGCGGGUCUCUGGGCCGAUACUGACGCUGAGGAGCGAAAGCGUGGGGAGCGAACAGG